GUGAGUCAUCGAAUCUUUGAACGCACAUUGCGCCCUGUGGUAUUCCGCAGGGCAUGCCUGUUCGAGCGUCAUUUAACCACUCACGCCUGGCGUGGUAUUGGGGCGCGCGGUCUCGCGGCCCUCAAAAUCAGUGGCGGCGCCGGUGGGCUCUAAGCGUAGUACAUACCCCCGCUAUAGAGUUCCCCUGGUGGCUCGCCAGAACCCCCAAUUUUUACAGGUUGACCUCGGAUCAGGUAGGGAUACCCGCUGAACUUAAGCAUAUCAAUAAGCGGAGGA
rnacentral:misc_RNA from 1 species